UGUCCCCUGAUGUCCCCUGAUUGUCCCCUGGGUGUCCCCUGGGUGUCCCCUGGGUGUCCCCUGGGUGUCCCUGAUGUCCCCUGGGUGUCCCCUGGGUGUCCCCUGGUGUCCCCUGGGUGUCCCCUGAUGUCCCCUGGGUGUCCCCUGGGUGUCACCUGGUGUCCCCUGGGUGUCCCUGGGUGUCACCUGGGUGUCCCCUGGGUGUCCC